AGAGGAGAAGGAAGUGAAAGCUACAGAAGAAGUGCAAAAGAGAAACCACAGGGAAAGGAGAAACAGCUGUGGAAAGUUUUCAUUUAUAGAAAUAUGCCCUUUGGUAUCUCUGAGGUACAUUGUCCCUGAUUACAUUGAUACCCACCACUUGUGGAUUUUAACUGGGAACACAGGCGCAGGUGAAUAACCCAUUUCUCACCAAAGCUUUGGGGAAGAAAAAAGUGCAAGAGUCACCUUCCCUCUUUCAAAAAAUCUGAGAUAUAACAGGAAGAAACACCGAAAGCUUCCCCAUGCUGUUCCAUACUCUAGCGCAGACCUGGAGGGACUACUGAGGUCUGAGAAUUAGUUCUGUCCCUAUGCCAAUGGUGGCAAUCAGACUCUUAGAGCAAGACUCUUUCCUGGCCCUGCACAGAUGCACAAGGUGGGGAGAAGGCACCAGGAGCUACUUGAGUACAGAUUGCAGGGACUGGAGACAAUGAAGCCCUUGCAUGCCAUGAACCCAAGGAUUUUGCUGGCACAAGCCUCUCCAGAAUGGGUUAACUCGACCGCUCCCCACCCCACACACACUGACACCACCUAACAGUGCGUUGCAGGGCUCAGAGGACAGUGCCCUCUUCAAAAAUGACACAAUGGCCACAAUGCCUCCUGGAGCUUCUGCUGCAGUAGUGCAGCUGGGUAACAUCCUCCAAUGCAGGGCAACGACAUCAAGGUCCAAUCAAACCUUUCUUGGUAUUUUAAACAUAAUUAACUUCUGUUUGUAAAUAUCACUAGAGCAUAUAAAGGAGCUUGCCAGAAUCCAAGCUUUGCACCCUCUACACCAUAGGCCUUGUUAUAAUAACAGAUGGACUGCAGUGGGCUUGGGGGAUUAAUGGGUGCCUAUGAAAUUCCUUUUUCUUUAUUUAAAAUGAACUUCUGGAGGAAAAAAUAUUUGUGCUUCCCAUCUUUAUUUGAUUUGUUAUGGUGCAUGAACAGGUGUGGAUUUUUUGUUCUCCUAUUUAGUCCUGCUACUCUUAAAGUGUAGGUGGCACUGGGAUUCUUUAUUCUGCAUUAGAAGAACCAGAUUUUAACUGGAGGGUGUCUUAGCUGGUGGAUUUCUAGGCAGCCAGUGGGAUUGUGGCAUUGCAAGAAACUGAAACUACAGCAUUUAAAGGAGAGAGGAUUAUUUGUGUGUUCUAUUUUGUUUACUUUUAUUAAUGACUACUUAACUCAAAUGUCUUACCCCCACUUGGGAGAGAAACUUUUUUUGGCCUGUCCAUACUAGGAAAAUAGAUCAUAUCUUAACAUGUGUGAGCUAACAUAUAUAAUGCAUCUUAAAUCCUAGUGUAAGUAGGGCUUAACACCCUUCAAAAACAUCAUGGCUGCUCCUGAUCAGCCUAUGUCAGGGGCCAGCCUGCAGCAGAGGCAAUCUCCUGGCUACCCAGUGAUAUAAGCUGAAUCAGAGAUAAGGUGCAUUCCCGAGGGAAAUGGUCACAACUGUUGCAUCAAGCACAGAUUUAAAAAUCCAACCUUCACCACCACCAUCUCUUGAUCUCCAGGAGCAACCAGCAAUGUAGGAUUACUCCUAGAUACUGCAGAGCCAUAACUAGGUAUUUUUGUGCCCGAG